rnacentral:rRNA from 1 species
AAUAACGAUACGGGACUCAUCCGAGGCCCCGUAAUCGGAAUGAGAACAAUUUAAAUCCUUUAACGAGGAUCAAUUGGAGGGCAAGUCUGGUGCCAGCAGCCGCGGUAAUUCCAGCUCCAAUAGCGUAUAUUAAAGUUGUUGCGGUUAAAAAGCUCGUAGUCGAAUCUGUGUCCCGCGCCGCCGGUUCGUCGCUCGCGGCGUUUAACUGGCGUGUCCGCGGGACGUCCUGCCGGUGGGCUUAGCCCCCCGCCGUGGUGCUCUUCACCGAGUGUCGAGGCGGGCCGGCACGUUUACUUUGAACAAAUUAGAGUGCUUAAAGCAGGCUAAAAUUUUGCCUGAAUACUUCGUGCAUGGAAUAAUGGAAUAGGACCUCGGUUCUAUUUUGUUGGUUUUCGGAACCCCGAGGUAAUGAUUAAUAGGAACGGAUGGGGGCAUUCGUAUUGCGACGUUAGAGGUGAAAUUCUUGGAUCGUCGCAAGACGGACAGAAGCGAAAGCAUUUGCCAAAAACGUUUUCAUUGAUCAAGAACGAAAGUUAGAGGUUCGAAGGCGAUCAGAUACCGCCCUAGUUCUAACCAUAAACGAUGCCAGCUAGCGAUCCGCCGACGUUCCUCCGAUGACUCGGCGGGCAGCUUCCGGGAAACCAAAGCUUUUGGGUUCCGGGGGAAGUAUGGUUGCAAAGCUGAAACUUAAAGGAAUUGACGGAAGGGCACCACCAGGAGUGGAGCCUGCGGCUUAAUUUGACUCAACACGGGAAACCUCACCAGGCCCGGACACCGGAAGGAUUGACAGAUUGAGAGCUCUUUCUUGAUUCGGUGGGUGGUGGUGCAUGGCCGU